rnacentral:rRNA from 1 species
AGUGAACGCUGGCGGUAGGCCUAACACAUGCAAGUCGAACGGCAGCACAGUAAGAGCUUGCUCUUACGGGUGGCGAGUGGCGGACGGGUGAGGAAUACAUCGGAAUCUACUUUUUCGUGGGGGAUAACGUAGGGAAACUUACGCUAAUACCGCAUACGACCUACGGAUGAAAGCAGGGGAUCUUCGGACCUUGCGCGAUUGAAUGAGCCGAUGUCGGAUUAGCUAGUUGGCGGGGUAAAGGCCCACCAAGGCGACGAUCCGUAGCUGGUCUGAGAGGAUGAUCAGCCACACUGGAACUGAGACACGGUCCAGACUCCUACGGGAGGCAGCAGUGGGGAAUAUUGGACAAUGGGCGCAAGCCUGAUCCAGCCAUACCGCGUGGGUGAAGAAGGCCUUCGGGUUGUAAAGCCCUUUUGUUGGUAAAGAAAAGCAGCAGGUUAAUACCCCGCUGUUCUGACGGUACCCAAAGAAUAAGCACCGGCUAACUUCGUG